AGAAGGUAAAGGUUCCAAAGACAGGAAAUUUAAGAACCUAAAAACCAUGAUGAAAUACUGCCGAACACAGCGGGUUUGCAGAAAAAUACAACUGCUUACCUACUUUGGUGGGGUCAACAUUGAAGAAAACGUAUGCCAGCCAAACUCAGAAGCCAUCUGUGACAACUGCGUAUGAGACAAUGCAGCUGCUGCUGCUACCGUCUGAAAUCCAGGCUUCAGUACCAUCCCUACACCCCAGACCAACCAACAACCCUUCUUCAAACCAGCUCAAUAGGAUUCAUCCAAUCAAGUGAAGUUUAAAAUGUACUUUGUCCCAAAUAGAUCAUAGCGCCAAGACACAAUGUUCCAGCCUUUUAGUCACAUACGACACUAUAGCGGGACAUUGAAUCUUUGAUAGAAAUACAUUUAAUAGUCUAAUCGCCAUGUCGGGAAAAUAUUGCGUCACACCUUGACAUUCUAUUGGGAAUGUCUGGAUGCAAGUAUAGUGAUACCACAGCAUUUCUUAGCUUCUAGAAGGUAAAGCCUUUAAGUUCUUGAAUUAUUUUGUGGGGGGGUGGCCUGACUUUCUUCUGUUUGCAAUUUGCUGUGUUAUGUUUUGAUUUUAAUAAUUGUCUUUGUGAUUGUUUGAUAACCCCUUUGAGGAAUGGCAUGGCAAUGGCACUAUCAAUUCCUUUUCUUUUUCCAAGUAGAGCACAUUUUAGACCAUUACUCUAGAAGGAUAAUCAAAACAACCUUCUUAAAUAGUAUGGGAGAAAUUUACCCCAGGUAUAAUAUUGUAAUCAUUAUCUUGCCUUUAUCUUGAUUCACAGAGAGGCUAACUGCCUUACAUCUGAUAUAACUAAUGUUUGAGAUGUCAAUUAUUUACUUAACUGAUUCCAAGUGAUAAUAAAGUCUUUAUCUCUCAAA